rnacentral:ncRNA from 1 species
UCCGCAGCGCGUGCGUCAAAACGAUGUUGCGGAAGGAAACGCCCUUCAGCCGCGCGGUCCGGAUGUACCGUGCGGUCACGACCUCGGCCAUCGAGACCCGCGUCAGCCGCGCGAUAUAGCCCAUGCCGUAAAGCGCGAUGGUCAGCACCGGCAGAGAGAAGUUCUCGAAGGUCGGAC